rnacentral:lncRNA from 1 species
ACACAGAUAUGCAGUCCAUAGUGCUGCUCCUUAUCAACUUGUAGUUAGUAAGGACAAAGUAUAUCAACGUUACCAGACCACAUCUCUGGAUUAUUCACAGAGUCUGCUAUUUCUGUUUGUACUACCAGACCUGAGAAUAUUUAUGUGCUCCUUAUCAACUUGUAGUUAGUAAGGACAAAGUAUAUCAACGUUACCAGACCACAUCUCUGGAUUAUUCACAGAGUCUGCUAUUUCUGUUUGUACUACCAGACCUGAGAAUAUUUAUGGUAAUGUCUGUGGUCCUAGCUUCUUGUCUUGCCCAUCUUCUCUCUCAUCCUGUCUAAUCAUUUACAGGUCAAUUCUCCCACUCUUACUUGUUGCAGCUCCCAUUCCUGCUGACUUCUGCUUUGGGUCAAUUGUGUGAGUAUACCAGCACCAAGCUUCUCAGUGUUUACUCACCCUCUGUUGCCUCAUCUGACUGAGCGUCCCUAAUUGUACAGCGAAGGUACAGGCUUGGAAGGCAUGAAAAUGUUGGCAUAUAGAGAAGUGUCAAAUACCUAG